UAGGGAAUCUUCCACAAUGGGCGAAAGCCUGAUGGAGCAACGCCGCGUGUGUGAUGAAGGGUUUCGGCUCGUAAAACACUGUUGUAAGAGAAGAAUGACAUUGAGAGUAACUGUUCAAUGUGUGACGGUAUCUUACCAGAAAGGAACGGCUAAACACGUGCUAG
rnacentral:rRNA from 1 species